rnacentral:rRNA from 1 species
CUGCGGCAGCUUACCAUGCAGUCGAGCGGUAACAGGGGGUGCUUGCACCCCGCUGACGAGCGGCGGACGGGUGAGUAAUGCAUAGGAAUCUGCCCAGUAGUGGGGGAUAGCCCGGGGAAACCCGGAUUAAUACCGCAUACGCCCUUUGGGAGAAAGCAGGGGAUCUUCGGACCUUGCGCUAUUGGAUGAGCCUAUGUCGGAUUAGCUAGUUGGUGGGGUAAAGGCCUACCAAGGCGACGAUCCGUAGCUGGUCUGAGAGGAUGAUCAGCCACAUCGGGACUGAGACACGGCCCGAACUCCUACGGGAGGCAGCAGUGGGGAAUAUUGGACAAUGGGGGCAACCCUGAUCCAGCCAUGCCGCGUGUGUGAAGAAGGCUUUCGGGUUGUAAAGCACUUUCAGUGAGGAGGAAAACCUUCUGGUUAAUACCCAUGAGGCUUGACGUUACUCACAGAAGAAGCACCGGCUAACUCCGUGCCAGCAGCCGCGGUAAUACGGAGGGUGCAAGCGUUAAUCGGAAUUACUGGGCGUAAAGCGCGCGUAGGUGGUUUGAUAAGCGAGAUGUGAAAGCCCCGGGCUUAACCUGGGAACGGCAUUUCGAACUGUCAGGCU